rnacentral:rRNA from 1 species
UACGAAGGGGGCAAGCGUUGUUCGGAAUGACUGGGCGUAAAGGGCGCGUAGGCGGUUCGUUGCGUCAGAUGUGAAAGCCCCGGGCUCAACCUGGGAACUGCAUUUGAUACGGGCGGGCUUGAAUCCAAGAGAGGGUGGUGGAAUUCCCAGUGUAGAGGUGAAAUUCGUAGAUAUUGGGAAGAACACCAGUGGCGAAGGCGGCCACCUGGCUUGGUAUUAACGCUGAGGCGCGAAAGCGUGGGGAGCAAACAGG